AUACGGAGGGUGCAAGCGUUAAUCGGAAUUACUGGGCGUAAAGCGUGCGUAGGUGGUUUGUUAAGUCAGAUGUGAAAGCCCCGGGCUCAACCUGGGAACUGCAUUUGAAACUGGCAUACUAGAGUGUAGGAGAGGAAAGUGGAAUUUCAGGUGUAGCGGUGAAAUGCGUAGAUAUCUGAAGGAACAUCAAUGGCGAAGGCAGCUUUCUGGACUAAUACUGACACUGAGGUACGAAAGCGUGGGUAGCAAACAGGAUUAGAAACCCGAGUAGUCC
rnacentral:rRNA from 1 species